UGCGGAGAAUGUCAUCAGGGUAACAUGGUC
rnacentral:piRNA from 1 species